GAUGAACGCUGGCGGCGUGCUUAACACAUGCAAGUCGAACGAUGAAGCUCAGCUUGCUGGGUGGAUUAGUGGCGAACGGGUGAGUAACACGUGAGUAACCUGCCCUUAACUCUGGGAUAGGCCUGUGAAACUAGGUCUAAUACCUGAUAGGAGCGCCUACCGCAUGGUGGGUGUUGGAAAGAUUUAUCGUUUUUGGAUGGACUCGAGGCCUAUCAGCUUGUUGUUGAGGUAAUGGCUCACCAAGGCGACGACGGGUAGCCGGCCUGAGAGCGUGACCGGCCACCCUGGGACUGAGACACGGAGCAGACUCCUACGGGAGGCAGCAGUGGGGAAUAUUGCACAAUGGGCGAAAGUCUGAUGCAGAGACGCCGCGUGAGGGAUGACGGCCUUCGGGUUGUAAACAUCUUUCAGUAGGGAAGAAGCGAAAGUGACGGUACCUGCAGAAGAAGCACCGGCUAACUACGUG
rnacentral:rRNA from 1 species